GCUGAAGAACGCAGCGAAAUGCGAUACGUAAUGUGAAUUGCAGAAUUCAGUGAAUCAUCGAAUCUUUGAACGCAUAUUGCGCUCUCUGGUAUUCCGGAGAGCAUGCUUGUUUGAGUAUCAGUAAACACCUCAACUUCCAUAUCUUUUUUGAAAUGGGAGUUGGACUUGAGUGAUCCCAACGCUUUUCCUCACCGAAAAGUGGCGGGUUACUUGAAAUGCAGGUGCAGCUGGACUUUUCUCUGAGCUAUAAGCAUAUCUAUUUAGUCUGCCUAAAAAACAGAUUAUUACCUUUGCUGCAGCUAACAUAAAGGAGAUUAGUUCUUGUGCUGACUGAUGCAGGAUUCACAAAGACAGGCUUCGGCCGACUUUGUAAACUCGAUCUCAAAUCAAGUAAGACUACCCGCUGAACUUAAGCAUAUCAUAAGCGGAGGA
rnacentral:misc_RNA from 1 species